rnacentral:tRNA from 1 species
GCCUGGGUGGCUCAGUCGGUUAAGUGUCUGACUUAGGCUCAGGUCAUGAUCUCACGGUUCGUGGGUUCAAACCCCACAUCAGGGU